GAUGAAGAACGUAGCGAAAUGCGAUACGUAGUGUGAAUUGCAGAAUUCAGUGAAUCAUCGAAUCUUUGAACGCACAUUGCACCUCUCGGUAUUCCGGGAGGUAUGCCUGUUCGAGCGUCAUUUGUACCCUCAAGCUCUGCUUGGUGUUGGGUGUUCGUUCCGCCUCUGUGUGUGAACUCGCCUCAAAACAAUUGGCAGCCGGCGUACUUGUUUCGGAGCGCAGCACAUUUUGCGAUCCAGAUCAACGCACAGCGGCAUCCAAGAAGCCUUAUUUAACGCUCUUGACCUCGGAUCAGGUAGGGAUACCCGCUGAACUUAAGCAUAUCAAUAAGCGGAGGA
rnacentral:misc_RNA from 1 species